rnacentral:lncRNA from 1 species
AGAAAACACUGAGAUAACCAACUAUGAUAAACUGCAGUUGGAAUUUAACGACCCAGUGGAUGGGAAACAAAGGGAAGAAAUGAGACUUGAAAAAACAAACAAACAGGGAGAUCAAGUGAAGGGUGGGCAGACCUCUAUUUGACUGAUGCUUGCUCCCUUUGAAGGUAUGUAGGAAAUUUUGUAGUACUGAGACCUGUGCCUCUGAGAAUCCCUUGAAACCUGACAGACUCAAGGAAACUAAGAAAUAAAAUUACAGAAUAUCUAUUGGCACCUACUUCUACAAAAGACCAGCUGAAACAUCUAACCUGGUGGGACUGAGCAACUACUAGAUUCUUCGACUUCCCAUUCACAGUGACUUCUGGCUGUUUCCACUGACUUGGGCUGAUUGACAGAGACUCUUCUGUUUGUUCUGGAUGAACUGCCAUUGCUGAUUCAUAGAGAGAAUCUACAAGUGACUUGAGGUACUGCUGCUGAUCUGUGUGAACUGAACUGCAAAUAUUUUGACAAGAUUGGAAUUGCCCCAAAUAAAUGUUUCUAAAUAGGUCCACAUC